CUGCUUCCAAGUCAUCUUUCCUUAGGGUUAGAGUUAACACAGGGAAUCUGUUUGAGUACUUAGGGGGUCCUGCCUUACAAAUGCCAGUGAGACUUGGCUACAACUAGGAAGAGGCUCACUGCCUAGAGCCCAACAUUUUGUGUGAAGAUUACAGCAUGGUCUACCCUAGAGAAAUUACUUUUCUGGUUCUAAUAUAGAAGCUGACACACAGGACCCACAGGACCGGAGUUUUCCUCCUCUCGUGCCAAGAGUGUCUGCGGAUGUCACACUUUCCUGUUGUGAAUGGGUACAAGCUGUGAUGUUGCCAUUCAAGGACUUCCAGUAGCGAUUGAGUUCUAAACAAAGAAGACUCUUUCUGAAGGCCUGUAUAAAAAGAACUCCGCUAAGAGGGCAGAGCUGGCCUGGGGACUCCGUGAGUUAUCAGAACCCUCCCUCAAGUCCUAAGAGCCCUACCGAUGGCAAUUGGAAAUGCAAGGAAAACAAAGCUCUCCAGCGCAGAGACCACAGCCUCAGCUCCUUUAGAAGUCAAUGGGAGGUAAGCCAUUCUUUCUGACU
rnacentral:lncRNA from 1 species